rnacentral:rRNA from 1 species
UCUUUAUGGGGUGACUGCGUACCUUUUGUAUAAUGGGUCAGCGACUUAUAUUCUGUAGCAAGGUUAACCGAAUAGGGGAGCCGAAGGGAAACCGAGUCUUAACUGGGCGUUAAGUUGCAGGGUAUAGACCCGAAACCCGGUGAUCUAGCCAUGGGCAGGUUGAAGGUUGGGUAACACUAACUGGAGGACCGAACCGACUAAUGUUGAAAAAUUAGCGGAUGACUUGUGGCUGGGGGUGAAAGGCCAAUCAAACCGGGAGAUAGCUGGUUCUCCCCGAAAGCUAUUUAGGUAGCGCCUCGUGAAUUCAUCUCCGGGGGUAGAGCACUGUUUCGGCAAGGGGGUCAUCCCGACUUACCAACCCGAUGCAAACUGCGAAUACCGGAGAAUGUUAUCACGGGAGACACACGGCGGGUGCUAACGUCCGUCGUGAAGAGGGAAACAACCCAGACCGCCAGCUAAGGUCCCAAAGUCAUGGUUAAGUGGGAAACGAUGUGGGAAGGCCCAGACAGCCAGGAUGUUGGCUUAGAAGCAGCCAUCAUUUAAAGAAAGCGUAAUAGCUCACUGGUCGAGUCGGCCUGCGCGGAAGAUGUAACGGGGCUAAACCAUGCACCGAAGCUGCGGCAGCGACGCUUAUGCGUUGUUGGGUAGGGGAGCGUUCUGUAAGCCUGUGAAGGUGUGCUGUGAGGCAUGCUGGAGGUAUCAGAAGUGCGAAUGCUGACAUAAGUAACGAUAAAGCGGGUGAAAAGCCCGCUCGCCGGAAGACCAAGGGUUCCUGUCCAACGUUAAUCGGGGCAGGGUGAGUCGACCCCUAAGGCGAGGCCGAAAGGCGUAGUCGAUGGGAAACAGGUUAAUAUUCCUGUACUUGGUGUUACUGCGAAGGGGGGACGGAGAAGGCUAUGUUGGCCGGGCGACGGUUGUCCCGGUUUAAGCGUGUAGGCUGGUUUUCCAGGCAAAUCCGGAAAAUCAAGGCUGAGGCGUGAUGACGAGGCACUACGGUGCUGAAGCAACAAAUGCCCUGCUUCCAGGAAAAGCCUCUAAGCAUCAGGUAACAUCAAAUCGUACCCCAAACCGACACAGGUGGUCAGGUAGAGAAUACCAAGGCGCUUGAGAGAACUCGGGUGAAGGAACUAGGCAAAAUGGUGCCGUAACUUCGGGAGAAGGCACGCUGAUAUGUAGGUGAGGUCCCUCGCGGAUGGAGCUGAAAUCAGUCGAAGAUACCAGCUGGCUGCAACUGUUUAUUAAAAACACAGCACUGUGCAAACACGAAAGUGGACGUAUACGGUGUGACGCCUGCCCGGUGCCGGAAGGUUAAUUGAUGGGGUUAGCGGUAACGCGAAGCUCUUGAUCGAAGCCCCGGUAAACGGCGGCCGUAACUAUAACGGUCCUAAGGUAGCGAAAUUCCUUGUCGGGUAAGUUCCGACCUGCACGAAUGGCGUAAUGAUGGCCAGGCUGUCUCCACCCGAGACUCAGUGAAAUUGAACUCGCUGUGAAGAUGCAGUGUACCCGCGGCAAGACGGAAAGACCCCGUGAACCUUUACUAUAGCUUGACACUGAACAUUGAGCCUUGAUGUGUAGGAUAGGUGGGAGGCUUUGAAGUGUGGACGCCAGUCUGCAUGGAGCCGACCUUGAAAUACCACCCUUUAAUGUUUGAUGUUCUAACGUUGACCCGUAAUCCGGGUUGCGGACAGUGUCUGGUGGGUAGUUUGACUGGGGCGGUCUCCUCCUAAAGAGUAACGGAGGAGCACGAAGGUUGGCUAAUCCUGGUCGGACAUCAGGAGGUUAGUGCAAUGGCAUAAGCCAGCUUGACUGCGAGCGUGACGGCGCGAGCAGGUGCGAAAGCAGGUCAUAGUGAUCCGGUGGUUCUGAAUGGAAGGGCCAUCGCUCAACGGAUAAAAGGUACUCCGGGGAUAACAGGCUGAUACCGCCCAAGAGUUCAUAUCGACGGCGGUGUUUGGCACCUCGAUGUCGGCUCAUCACAUCCUGGGGCUGAAGUAGGUCCCAAGGGUAUGGCUGUUCGCCAUUUAAAGUGGUACGCGAGCUGGGUUUAGAACGUCGUGAGACAGUUCGGUCCCUAUCUGCCGUGGGCGCUGGAGAACUGAGGGGGGCUGCUCCUAGUACGAGAGGACCGGAGUGGACGCAUCACUGGUGUUCGGGUUGUCAUGCCAAUGGCACUGCCCGGUAGCUAAAUGCGGAAGAGAUAAGUGCUGAAAGCAUCUAAGCACGAAACUUGCCCCGAGAUGAGUUCUCCCUGACUCCUUGAGAGUCCUGAAGGAACGUUGAAGACGACGACGUUGAUAGGCCGGGUGUGUAAGCGCAGCGAUGCGUUGAGCUAACCGGUACUAAUGAACCGUGAGGCUUAACCUU